UGCUGUGUAUAUUGGCUACAGUAGGUUCAGAUUCACUAUUAGGAGUAGGAUGCACCUAGAUGCAAUCUAUCGACUUUGAUAGAAAAAGAGAAGUCCUAUAUGAUUUACAAGACUGAGUUCAGAAAGUUUUUGGUCAAAGUAAACGUGAAUACUGAAAAAAAAAGUUUAUGAGAUUCAUAAGGAAACUCGAGUCAAGUCAAUCUGACAUAUGACUGAUAAUGGGGUCUGACAAGUUCUCCAUGAUCUCCAUCAAGAUGGAACUCAUGAUAAAAAAAUUGAAUCAUACAAUAACUGCACCU
rnacentral:lncRNA from 1 species